rnacentral:snRNA from 1 species
GUACUCUCUUUGGCAGCACGUAUACUGAAAUUGAAAUGACACAGAGGAGAUUAGCAUGGCCCCUGUGCAAGGAUGACAUGCAAAUUUGUGAGGCGUUCCAUAUAAUA